CUUCACUGCAAAUUAGAUCCCCUGGAAAGAAACAGAGAGCCAGAACGGAUCCGACCUCUCUGCCGUUUCUGGGAGCGAACUCGUAUUCUUCCCUGCCCUCCUCGCCUUGCCUCUGACAACUUUUCCACACUCUGGGAGCUCCUUAUCUUCACCAAUACUUGGAUUUGUGUAUGUGUAUGUUGGGAACCAUUUAUGUGGCUGAGUGACUGAAAUAAUUUGAAGUCUGUUUUUGCUAGAACCUGAUCACCACCUGUUUGAGUGAAGAAACUGAGGACUGUUUGAAACUUCCUUGGACAUUAAUAGGUUGACUGCUAUGUCGCUGAACUUAGUGCAUGGAAGGUCAGCCUUUGAAAAGCUAAAUAAGGUGAAGAGGAUGUAGAAAAUAGACCUUAUAUGGAAAACUGUGAACCCUAUGGUGGCAUCUGUAUAAAGGAUCAUUUUGUGGGAGCAAUACCAACCUACUUCCUCUGAACAUUUGAGCAGAAGGGGGAGCUUCUCAGGACUUUUUCCCUUGAAAAAAAAAAAGGAUUAACGCUGACCAAGGUCAGAGCAACUAGUCACCAAUAUUCUUCACGGGUGAGUCCGGCCUCCUGCAUCCCUGGAAAAUAUCACCUGAAACAUCGACCUACGCACCGGACUUGAACAGGGAAUUUUGCAGUGUCAGAAACAGAUUAAUGAAUCCGUGAGCAAUACAAGGACAAUCGAUGGCAAAACUUGUCUGAGACAUCUGAAGAAGUGAGGAAACAGAUCUAAGUGUGGAAGACCCCAUGGACCCCCCAGGGAAUUUAUCCCAGUACUUUGCCAGUAAGGACAUCAGCUAAUAUCCAAGCAGUCUCUUCCUUGUCCAGUUUUGGAUUGCCAUGAUGAGGAUGGAAGAUACCUCACUGCCUUCCUCUUUCUCUUGCAGGUCAUCACUUCAGUGCACCCAGGCAGCAUCAGGACAGAGAAGGAUGGCAGUGUCAGGAUGAGAGGGCUGUACCCUUGCAAGACAAAGCUUUCAACACUGAACCUUAAACCCUCUGGUUUUGCCAGGUAACAAUAAUUUUUGCACCAAUUUGCCCCAUCCUAUAUGACCAUUAAGCCAUUGUGUCAUUCUUCAUCACACCGGGGUCCCAGCCGGUCUCCGACAGUGCAGGAAAGCCAAGGAUGGAACCUGUGGGGACAGAAGGUGGGUGAGUUUGCCCCACUCCCCUCCAUAGCUGGGUGCCACCCUGCUCCCUCCUGCAGCUGCCUUUGGGUGUCUGCAGCUCCACAGACCCUCACAGCAAGACAAACUGGGAUCCCACACCACACCAACCUACCCCAGGAAACGCAGUCUUCUCCCAGGAGUUUCAGGUAUCCAGUGUUCCUCCUGCCAUGCCUUGCUGAAGGAACAAAACUGCCUGUGCUGGAGGUAAAAAUACUUGCUGAUGCUAAACCUCGAGUUGGUGAGUCUCUGCUGAGCUGCAUCAUCAUAGUCUUCUAGGAGAAAUGUUAAUUCCCUUUUAAAAUUAAGGAGAGGAAAAGCAAACAGCAACUAAAUCCAAGAACAGGUAGACAACUUAGCUCCGGGAUUUUGCACUGCAGGUAUCAGGAGGCUUUCUGCCUUGAACCAUGCUGCUUGGAAAUGCUGGGAAAUCUCAUGUUAGUCCUUAACUCAGUCUGUUGUGUGUGGUUUUCUCCUCUCCAGCAGCAGCAUGAGUUAAGGAGGAGGCAUUAGCCCUCGCUGCGAUACCCCCACUGUCAGUUCAAGUCAGACUCUUCACGUUAUUUAUAUGUUCCCUUUUGUAAGUGUAUCGAUUAUACAAGUGAGUUCUCAAGUGCUCAGGCACUCGAUAGAGCCACACAAAGGAGGAAAAUGUCCAGGUUAGCAUGGAAUUACAUGUGUGCUGAGCAUGCCAGGGGACAGGAAUAAAUAAUGACAUGUACAAUUCAAAGCUACAUCUUAAGAGCUUUCUGUUUUAUUGCAGAGUGAUUAAAAAUAAAACCUGCAUUUCAAUUUCCAAAGUCCAGAAACUAAAGUUUGCCAGAGUUAUUCUUAGCCAUGGCAGAAUUGCCAUCUUCAGGCCACUUCCGCACACACCAGGUUAUUCCACAAUAAUCCAAAAUCCAGCGCAAGCUCCUCCCUCCCCUCUGUUCGUUUUACCCUUUGCAUUAUGAAUGCUGUGGGUAAGGGCUGCCUGUUUCACAGGGGGCUUGGUAUCACAGAAAGCUGGUUGUUGAUCUCUGGAUGCCUGCAGGCCAGCAAUCUGUGCUACAAGUUACCCCUCUUAAAAAAAAAAAAAAAAUCACCAAAAAAAAAAGACAAGUGGAUAAAACUGAUACAAGCAUCUGUAACAAGCUAAUUGGACCCUUGUGGGCAACAUAGCAGAUACCAAAUUAAAACAAACAAAACAUCUCAUUGUACAACUGUACUUCCAGGACCACUAUCACAAAGAGAUCCGUCUGGAUUUUUAUUUUAGUUUUGUUUUGUUUAAAAGGACCUAAUUAUGGCCAGAGCUGGAGUAUCACAAGUCUGUUUUCAUCUAUAAAGAAAGGAUAUUUUGCCUCUGAACCUGAGAAAUUGUUAGAAGUUGGUAAUUAGUAUGACUUGUUAAUAGAGUUUGGCUGUGAUUAAGCUGUGAUUGAGUGUGAGUUUGGUUCUUGUCAAUGCGAAUGCCUGUAAGGUUGAGAGAUGUUUAAUGAGACACCUGUUGUCAGCAGCACCCGGUGGGCUUUGUUGCGCCUGAUUGGAAUUUGUACGGCGGAGCAGGAGCCGUCGGAACAGCAGCAGGAACAGCCCCGGCUGGCGGCUCAGCAGCAGCGGGAAAGGGCCUGAGCCAAAAGGAGGGUCAGACCCACCGGGGUCAGAGUAGGAUUUCAGGUGCAGAGCUGCAUCUCCUGUAUCUGCUCCCUGGCACUAUCAGCACCUCCAAACACACUGAGUGACUUCAAGUCUGCUCCAUAUGCAGGCAGACUCCUGGAAAAACCUUUCAUUUUCUUAUGGACUCAUUGACUGAGGUUUCCUGACUCAAAUCCCUCUACAAGACCCUGCAGAAAUGACAUCAAAACAUCACCAUUUUGAGGCCACAUGCUUUUCCUGCCCACUGAUGUCCUUUGAGUUUGAAUUGCAGUGUUUAGCUUUGACUGUGAGGCAAAGUUGGCAGUUUCCUGACUAACCCAAAGUGAGGUCAGAAAGAAGAAUGAAAACCAGAAAGGCGCCCCAGAAUGUCUGAGCAGAAGACAAUCACAUUUCUGUGUCAAAAAGAGGGCAAAACUAAGGAUGUGGGACUUGCAUGAAAAAUCUUGUAGACAGUUAUUUUUUUCUUCUUCCUUUCUCUCACAGUGGGACAAAUUCCACUUUUAUUUCAGUUCAUCUGUAAAACAUGAGGAGCCAGCUGAGCGUAGCGUUGGUUCAGAAUGAGGGCAGCUGACAAGGGAAAGGUAAAAGGAACUUGUAACUGCUGCCGUUUUCUCCAAGAAAUUAUUGCAAUGUGAAAAAAAAGCCCUCAAACUAACUUCCAAAGGAUAGAGGAAGGCACUAGGACAUCAUCUAACAUUCCCUGACAUAGCAGACUCCAAGGUAUAAUUAUUAAUGCAUAGGCCAUUUAAAUAUAGGCCAUCACCUCCUGUUGUCUCAGGUUUUCUUGUCAUCAUCUGGUGCUUGCUUAGGAUAGGAUGCAAAUAGGAAGGAGGCAGCUCUAAGGGUCAGGAAGCAGAGUUAAUGGGUGCAACUUGGGUGCAAGUGGAAGAGCAGGACAUGAAAGAGCACCUUGGCUAGAAAAAGGUUGGAACAAACUGCUUUAGCUCACACAUAAGAUGUCUGGGGUAUUUUGGGGGUCAGUUCUAGCUCCCAUAGUUCCUUAUAAUACUAUAGAACUAUACAAAGUUCUGUAUAGUUGGACACCACUCUUUGUUACUUCAAUUCCUAAAGAGUAAAGGCUGCAUUUCAUAGCCAACAUACUUUCCAAAUGCUCCUUCAUCUUCAAAGACUUCGGAAAUUAAUCACCAAUGCAAGCUGUAAAAAACUAUUCAUCAACAGCAUGUGUCACUUCCCAAGGAGCACAGAGAGGUACAGUGGCACAAGGCAUUGCCAGGGAACUGUCCCCACUGAUAGUGGCACUGCUCAAGUGGGGUCUGAGUCCCAUCAGUGGAAAAGACCCCUCCCCUCCAGACAGCAGCACUGAUCAGAGGGUUUGGGACUACAAGCAUGCUACAAUUUGCAAGUCUACAGCUAUUAGACAGCGAGGGAGAUUCAGAAACAGCCUAAUUAGUUGCAUUUUCUUUUCUAACCUCAGUCAAAAACCAGUCAGACUAUGCUUUAGAUUUGACAUCCUAUUAAAUGCAGAACACAGGCCAAUAGCUUUCAUUUUCCCUUGUGAUGCCACAGACUGUUGUUUUUAUAGUUUGACAGAGAGACAUAAUUAGGCCUCAAAAAGGACAAGUCUAGACUAUUAGUUCCCCACAGAGGCUCCCUGGAAAAUCAGAACCCACAAUUAUUCUCCACUUUCCCACUGAGGCAAAUUUGCAGAUAUCUGCUCUCCUGCCUCAGAUUUUCUGCUCACAACCUUUAAGCCUGGGAAUUCACUGUCCUUUCUCUUGAAGGGCACAAGGGAAGAGACAGGGAAGGAUGGUGCUGGUGCUGGAUUUUCCAAAGGGCAAAGGCAUUUUAAGGACAAUACAUGGCAUUGCUAAUGCUAUAAGUGUGAGGGCUUUUCAGUGCUUCAGGCAGAGCGGAAGAGAAAUUUAUUGCCAUAUUUCUGCCCCUUCAGAAUUGGGCUUCAGAAAAAUAGAAGUUACAGUUUUUUGCCUCAAUCACAUGUAAAAUGAACCAAACACAGAGCAGCAGCCUGAGCACGAUUCCUCUCCUGGUGUCACAGCAGCCAUUGUCAGAGCAAGGCAUUUAGUGACACUUCUCAGUGAGACCUUUGCCCGUUCUCCUCUCUGCUUCCAAGUUACCUGCAGCUUCGCUUUUUGUUUCUCAACAACCAGGAAGCAGAAUCAGUCAGUCUCUGGCUACCACAGUCUCUCCCUCACAAGCAGUUCCUUAAUCUUUCUUUGCCAAGUGGUACAUACCAGCUCUCCCUUGCUUAGUUUCCAAGUGCUUGGAUGGUUUCUGUACCUCUCCUGUUGAGCUGCAACCUUGGACACACCUGAUUCAAAGGAGCUCUCAGGCUCAAUAUGAGCAUGAAGCAUUGGUCCUUUGUUUGUGCUGCAGCAUCAUAUUUCAGAUGCAUCUCCAGUGUGUAAUCCCCAGUAAUCCUCAGUUCACAGUGUGCCUAGCCAGCAGUCCCUAAUUCUGUGUAAACCACCCUACAGCUGUCUUUUUUGUCUCAUAUGUUACUGUUUUCAAGUCAUUUCCCCAAUCUAUCAGCAUUGUAUUGAAUUCUAAUCCUAUCUUCCAAAGUGUUACUCAGCACAUUUCCUGGGAAUUCGAUGCACAAGGAACAUCAGCUCCUUGUGAAGGCCACCUGCUUCCCAUUGCUCUGUGCACGAUCUGCCCCUGUCCCAGGAAGGUGCAGUGCGGAAUAUGCUGAUGGUGCCCUUUUUCUGUGUGUGUGCUGAAGUGUUUUCCUUUCCUAUGUGUGCUAUCAAACCUACUCAAGACCAUUUUGCUCUGUGGAAUCACAGGAUCACAGACUGGUUUGGACUGGAAGGAACCUUAAAGAUCAUUUCAUUCCAACCGCCUGCCAUGAGCAGGGACACCUUCCACUAGACCAGAUCACUCCAAGCCCUGUCCAACCUGGCCUUGAACACUCCAAGGAUGGGGCAUCCACAGCUUCUCUGGGCAAACCCUAGAUGCUUGAUAUCACAGAAAUGAGCAAAAUUCUGGACAGAGCUUAUUUGCCUCUCAACAACUUCAUGAAAAUGUUUUCCAUUUCUAAUAAUGAAGGUUUAUCCCUUACUUUGGCCGAGGGUUAUCACAUCCCUACUCAGCUGCAACAGAAACCAAAGUCCUCCAGAGGUGUGCAGUUGCUAAAUGUCCCCAUUGGUGACACUGGUACCUUUUCUGGGCUGAAAGGGUCAUCCACAGUCGUGCAGAUGCCAAGUGCAGCCCAGCACCCUGUGAGCACUCAAUUAGCCCGGCCGUGUCUGCUCAGCCUCUCAAGCACUCGGUGGAAGUAAAAUGCUUACACGAUCCCUCUGCCUACAAGGCCUUGAAAUCUUUAGGGGGCCUGGCUUUGCUGCCUGGUUUUCCAUUGACAGGCUGAUAGAGACAUCACAAAUCUCUCCAAAGGCCAGUCACUAGGCUUCUUUCAACAUCAAAGGGUGUCAAUGUUCACUCUGCCUCAGAGCCUGGGGCAAUAUAAAUCACACAUGGAUAUGUGAACUGAGUGUUUGAGGUUAAAUUCUCUCUGUAUACACAAAAAUUUCACCUUGGGUAACUGAUACUAUUGUGUUGUCUCCCCAUCAACAUCAAAUGCUUUCUGUAAAUCAUAAUAGUCCAAUAGAAAACAAAGUUUUAUAGGUGAAAGGAAAACAAAAAAAGGAAGGAUGAACCAGGGUGUUGUGGGGAGAGAUUAACUCAUUUUAAAUAUACAUUGUAAUUAUCUUGAAAGAAAAAUCAUUGAACUGAUGAGGUUUUGUUGGUCUCUUUCAACACCCAUAGUAACAUUCAUGCUCCCUGGGCCUGAACUGAGCCUCCAGUCACAGGGAUGUGAACCACCUUCCCUGGAUCAUCUCUUGUGUGUUUCUUCCUAAAAGCACUUGCCCCCCAGCCAGGCUGAUGACUGCCCAUGGAGCACCUGCUCCCCACACUGCUCCUCCCUCUUCCAUCCCGCUGUCCCACAGCGUGAGCCGGGCUGCCCAGAUGCCACCUCCUGGCUCCAGCCAUCAGCUGGAAAAGACGGAAUGCCCGGGUGGUGGCUGUUGGGAGAGUCUGACUCACCCUGACUGGCACAGUUGUGGCACCUCUGUGGGGAGUCUCUGCCACCUCCAAACAGGAGACGGGACAGCUGGGGCUGUCAGUAAAUUACACUGCACAAAGAUAGCUCCGGUGCCUGCCUGGCCUCCUCCCUGGCAGGGGCUCUGGAGGCAGAGCUACAUCAGCACAUUUGCACGACGCUGCACCGCUGCCAACUGGCCCUGCCUGCUCCGAGCAGCAGCCGCAGGCACCUGAUGCUGCUGCCCAGAGAACUCGGUCCAGCAUCUUGCAGGGUAUUCAAGAGAUCAUCCUGCGGCACAGAGUGCCAAGUCCCCGGGGGUUUUGCUGUCCCCAGGAAAGAAAUGGCUGUUAAACCCAGGCUGUUUGCUACUCGAUAGACUUGCUCAGCUCCCUGCAUCUCAUCUGCACUCUCAGCAGCAGGUUACGUUCCCUGGUUCAGCAGGGCAGGGACUGAAGCAGAUGGAGCUCAGCAGCUCCUGCCUCCUCCUGCAGAGCACACACAGCUCACCCUCCACGCCGCCACUGCUGCUCCUCACACCAGAGAGGGAUUUUUCCCUUGGGCAGCCACCCAGCCAGCCUCCAGGCUUUGCACUAAGCAGAAACAGGAGCUGGGAAACUACCUGCCUUAAACGGUGUGGUUUUAAUGAGAUUUUUUAUGACCUCUGCAGUAAAUUGCCUGUGCUCAGUAUUGUGUUGGAGUAAGUAACACCCGGCAGAAAUCGUAGCGAGGCAGUAAUUGCAGAGUAGCUGCCUAAGAUCUCCCUGCCAUCAGGCAGGGGUUUUCAUUUCAUACAUUAGUCACAAUUUGCAUAUAAUCAUAGUCAUAGUUGCAUAUAAUCAGCACAUCCCUUUGAAUGGGAAGAAGGAAAAGGGGGUGAAAGCUGCCCAGCACUGGGGAAAUGCAUGGAGUCACUGUGGGUUUUAUGGAUCUCCCAUCACUCCCAGCCUGCCAGGGGCCGCAUUGCUACUCGAGUCACACACCCCUUAACACAACCUCUGGAUUAAGGCAGAGAAAAUGUGUUUGCCUGGCCAUUUCUGAAAGGUUUUAGUGAACACUGGGUGCAUUAUACAUCAGAUUUUCCAUUAUUGCCAUUGCCCAAGCUGCGACAACAGCAGAUUCUCAACCAUCCUAACAAAAAUUAUCUUUUCUUCUGGAAAGCUGUUCCUUAGAAAUAAUGACACCUCAAAGGGAUGGGGGAAGUGUCUCUGGCUCCCUUCCUUCUCCCACUAAAACAUCCUCAUGCCCCUUAGGACCAUGUUUGCUUUCUGAUUGCUGCCAUAUGCACCAAACAGUUUUCCUACCUUCAGACCUCUGAGCUUUUGGAUGUCGUAUCCUGAGUUGGUUUUGGUUCUUGAUCCCUCCUGCUGUCCUCACCAUUGCAGCUCUCACAGCAGGAGUGAGGAUGUGAGCCUGGGCUGUGUGAUGUCCUUGGGAGGUUAUCAGGACACCCUGGCAGAAGAGACAGACCCGUCAGGGACAGGCACCAUCCUGAAAGGGCAAUUGCUUCUGUGUCACUGAAACAGCCUGUGCUUCCCAAGGAGGGGACAGGCUGGUAUUAUAAGACACUAAACAGCUUGAAAAGUCAGAGCUGAUGAUCAGAAAAAUUUCUCCAUCACCUUAUGUGGUGCAGGAGAUAUUCAUCACCUCAACCCUUCAAAGCCAGCAACCACAGCUAGAGAAGAACUAUAUUCUGGCACACGUAAUCUUAGUCCUUGUUUGGCACAGUAGUGUUUGAGGCAACAUUUCAGGCUGUAACUGAGGGAACUGUGCUUCAUCAACAGCCUCCAGCUUUUCACCCAGCAAAAGAGCAUGGCUUUUCCUGGGAUUUUAAACAGCCUUAAAAGGACCAUCAUGGGAUAUUCACUCAUUUUUGUCCACUAUUGUGAAAUCAUGAUGUGAAGUUCUUUAUGUUUUGAAUAGCAUUUGUCUCUUUCUGGUUUUUAUUUUUUAAGCACAGUCUGCUCGGCUGCAGUCAGGGAAUGAUUAUCUUGCAGAAGUUGUACCUUGUCCAUUGACUCGCUGGGCCCAUCUCAUGUCUGGCUUAAAAUCUGCAUAAUGAGAAGAAAGCCAUUUUCCUUGAGAUCCAUUCAAAGCUCCUCGAGCGCCAGGUUGUUGUUUUUUAAUCACACAAAAUGGUAUAUAUUAAUGAGCUCUGAAGUUACAUAAAGAUAGAUUUAAAGCAUAAAAACACUAAUAUGCCCUGUAGCAUUCAGUGCUUUGAACACGGAAUGGCAUCUGUGUGAGAGUGUGAUUGCAGGCAGCUAUGGAAACCCGUGCCAAAAAAUGAGGCAAUGCUGAACAAGUGGUGUAAGAUUGGGAAAAAACUGGGAACGAAGAUAUUCAAUUUGCAUUAAAAGGCCUAGCUCGCUAGCAGCCCAAAUUGUGCAACUUUCUGCCUUUAAAUGCUUAUUUUCUGGUUCUGCUGCCAAUGUGGAGAUUGUCUUUUUCCUGGAAGAAAAUUUCCCUCUCCCUCCAGCCACCAACAGAAAUAAAGAGCAAGCCAGUUCCCGGGUCAGAUGUGGCUGUUCCAAAUGGGACAAGUUUCGCAACCAUGGAAAAGUGCAAGGUCUUCCCUCGUCUCUGCAUUCAUCCUGAGCAAUUUCCUUCUCAUUUCCAGAUGGUGCCAAUUAAGACUAGGAACCCCUGCCCUAACAGUUGUUAACAAAACAAGCACAAUCUGAGACUUUAAUGAGUAAAACUAGAGUCACAUCAUAUGCCCAAGAGAAGCCAAAAUGAAAAGAACGAUGGCAGUUGGAAAACACUUGGGUGGCUGCUUCUUAAAAUUGUAAAAUGCUGGAGGAUUUUUUACCAUUUUUUUAAAUUGUAAAAUGCUAGAUUAUAUUUUUAAUACUGAGGGCUGCCUUCUACUGCUCAGUUCAGUGGGAUUAUUUUGAGGCCUAAAGAUAAUCAUUUGGAUAAACCAUUCCAAUCAGCGACCAUUCCAAUCAGCAGGGCCAUACGUAAUUCAUAUUAGAAGGUAUUUUUCCAAUACAUUAUUGAGUUAAUUUUAUAAUCAGUAGAUGGUAAUUAGGAUAGCAUCCAUGCUUUCAAAAACAAAACCAGAUACUCCUGGUUAGAAGACCUCACCAUUGAGACAUCACUAAAACCACCAGCUAAAAAUAGAAGCUCCAUUAACUCAGGCUACAAACCAGAUUCACAGGUUUUAUGUCAUGGGGAGGCAAUUAACUAUUUUCACAGAUUACCUGAGGGUGUAAUGGAUGAUCUGUCACUUGAAAACCUCAACUCAAGGGUGACCACCUACCAAAAACCAUUCUCUGCCGCAGCUGUGUGCAACUUAACUCACAGAUUUCUGAAAAAAAAACUACUAUGGAUUUUUCAGCUCCUGGGUAGCAAACCUUACACUUGUCCUGUUUGUAUUAGCUACCUUUUUCUGACUCUGCACAAAUAAAUUGUGAAUUCUGGGAUUUGUGGACUGAAAAGCCAGCAUUUUGCUCAAACCAAAGUUACAAACUUGAUGGAAGAGUUUCUGACAAAAUACCCAUGUCACAAAGAGGUUCUUUUGACCAUACAGCCUGUAAAUAUACUAAGACAUGUUGGAAGUGCAGUUGAGAGGAGUUAAACCAAGCAAAUGUCAGAUAAUCUUUUCCUUUAAUAAUUUAUUUUUGUGUUGGGAAGUACUGUGGUAUUUUUACAUCUGAAAAUGCUUGGGGGUUUGAGUAUGAUCCUAUUCAAAGCCUGAGCACACACCAGCUGGUAGGAUUCUACCAAAACCCAUCCAAUGCCCAUCCCAGCAAAAAUGAAGGAAGAAAUACAAAUAUUUCAGGCUAUUCUUCUAUGCUACUUUACAAUAUUUGUUCCUUUCUUCCAUGAAACACCAGCACAGAGCAGAACAGCCUGAACAUGUCACAUCACACGAGAUGCUCCAG